GAACUUGCAAAGACAGGGAAGAGUACGAAGAAAACAGCUUUAAGAGAGGGAAGCCAAUAGCUGAGAGGUUUCCUAAGCGGGUGCUUCGGAAGGUCGCCCUUGAGCAUCUUCUGCGAACGGAUUUUUCUUAGUAGUGGAAGACGGGAAAACCGUUAUCUUAUUAAGUGCCAAUCAAAAGUUUGAUUGGAAAAAAGGUGGUACCGCGAAAUUCACUCUAUUCGUCCUUUUA
rnacentral:ncRNA from 1 species